UACGGAGGGUGCAAGCGUUAUCCGGAUUCACUGGGUUUAAAGGGUGCGUAGGAGGACAGGUAAGUCAGUGGUGAAAUCUCCGAGCUUAACUUGGAAACUGCCGUUGAUACUAUCUGCCUUGAAUAUUGUGGAGGUGAGCGGAAUAUGUCAUGUAGCGGUGAAAAUGCUUAGAUAUGACAUAGAACACCAAUUGCGAAGGCAGCUCGCUACACAUAUAUUGACUCUGAGGCACGAAAGCGUGGGGAUCAAACAGG
rnacentral:rRNA from 1 species